rnacentral:ncRNA from 1 species
AUAAAAAAAUAAGCAUACUCAUAUAUUUUGGAAAUAUGGUCCAAUAGUUUCUACGUCUUCGCCGUAAAUGAAGACGCUAUGGGUAGAAUAGCAUU